UACGAAGGGGGCUAGCGUUGCUCGGAAUCACUGGGCGUAAAGGGCGCGUAGGCGGCCAUUCAAGUCGGAGGUGAAAGCCCAGGGCUCAACCCUGGAAUUGCCUUCGAUACUGUUUGGCUAGAGACCGGAAGAGGUAAGUGGAACUGCGAGUGUAGAGGUGAAAUUCGUAGAUAUUCGCAAGAACACCAGUGGCGAAGGCGGCUCACUGGCCCAUUACUGACGCUGAGGCACGAAAGCGUGGGGAGCAAACAGG
rnacentral:rRNA from 1 species